rnacentral:tRNA from 1 species
GCCCAGGUGGCUCCAUUGGUUGAGCGUCUGACUUCGGCUCAGGUCAUGAUCUCAUGGUUCGUGAGUUCGAGCCCCACAUUGGGCU